rnacentral:rRNA from 1 species
CUACGGGUGGCAGCAGUGAGGAAUAUUGCGCAAUGGGGGAAACCCUGACGCAGCGACGCCGCGUGGAUGAUGAAGGCCUUCGGGUCGUAAAAUCCUGUCAGAAGGAAAGAAGUGUAUGGUAGCUAAUAUCUGCCAUACUUGACGGUACCUUCAAAGGAAGCACCGGCUAACUCCGUGCCAGCAGCCGCGGUAAUACGGAGGGUGCAAGCGUUGUUCGGAAUUACUGGGCGUAAAGCGCGCGUAGGCGGUUUUAUAAGUCAGAUGUGAAAGUCCACGGCUCAACCAUGGAAGUGCAUUUGAAACUGUAAGACUUGAGUAUUGGAGGGGGUAGUGGAAUUCCCGGUGUAGAGGUGAAAUUCGUAGAUAUCGGGAGGAAUACCGGUGGCGAAGGCGACUAUCUGGCCAAAUACUGACGCUGGGGUGCGAAAGCGUGGGGAGCAAACAGGAUUAGAUACCCGCGUAGUC